GUCCACAUAGUUAUCAGGUCAUAGUGGCUAUGGUGUCCACAUAGUUAUCAGGUCAUAGUGGCUAUGGUGUCCACAUAGUUAUCAGGUCAUAGUGGCUAUGGUGUCCACAUAGUUAUCAGGUCAUAGUGGCUAUGGUGUCCACAUAGUUAUCAGGUCAUAGUGGCUAUGGUGUCCACAUAGUUAUCAGGUCAUAGUGGCUAUGGUGUCCACAUAGUUAUCAGGUCAUAGUGGCU